GAACUGGAGAGUUUGAUUCUGGCUCAGAUUGAACGCUGGCGGCGUGCUUAACACAUGCAAGUCGAACGCGAAAGGGGCUUCGGCCCUGAGUAAAGUGGCGCACGGGUGAGUAACGCGUGGAUAAUCUGCCCUUAUGAUCGGGAUAACAGUUGGAAACGGCUGCUAAUACCGGAUACGCUCAAGAUGAACUUUUUGAGGAAAGAUGGCCUCU
rnacentral:rRNA from 1 species